UGCGGGCCUUUCCCAGGCGAGGCUGAGGAUUUGAGGUGAAGUGGAAUGGAUGCCACGGGCAGCGUCACAGCCACAAUGCUGGAGCGUGGCUUUGGCACAGUACAGGUGAUAAAGGCAACUGUGGUGACUGAAGGGAGAUCAGCGUGGAUGCGGCUGCCAUUGAGGAUGGCUCUUGAGGAGCGAUGGUGAUGCCCAGCAUUUGACC